GGUGGCGGCGGCGGCGGCGGCGGGCUCCUAGAGAAUGCUAACCCCCUCAUCUAUGAGCGAUCGGGGGAGCGGCCGGUGACGGCGGGUGAAGAAGAUGAGGAAGUGCCGGACAGCAUCGAUGCCCGGGAGAUCUUCGAUAUCCGUCGCUGCUGGGCGCUGAUGGAUGUGCACAUUACGCCGGGCACCCACGCCUCAGAGCAUGCAGUGAACAAACAACUUGCAGAUAAGGAGCGAGUGGCAGCUGCCCUGGAGAAUACCCACCUGCUAGAGGUCGUUAAUCAGUGUCUGUCUGCCCGCUCAUGAGCCUGGCUUUUGACCACCAGCCUGCACACAGAGGUCCUGGCUUCGGCUCCACAAAAGGCUUCUGGCUUUGUUUUCUUGAAUCACUGACAAGGAGAAACUUAACACUUUUUAUUUUGUAAUAAACCCUUAAUUUAUAUUCAUUUCCCAGCAU
rnacentral:lncRNA from 1 species